UUACGCUAGUUUAUGUGGUUGGAAUGCUGAACAUAUUUAUGAUAUCUCUUAUUGCAACUGGUCCGCCGAAAGUCCUAAUUUGAAAUUCAUUGACAGUCUACAAGAUUAUUUCGACCAAGUUGUCAAACUCUAGCCACGCGCAUCAACAAGUUCCAUCAGAUUGCAAGUAUUCUUUAAAGAUUUGUGACAAUGGAGGUGCCCCUGAAAGUCUUGCUUCUCUGCAUAGCCUUUAGCCUCGUCACAAUUAGCAAGACUGUCCUGGCAAGUUAAAUUGAACCCCUUUUCCCUCACUUGCAAUAAGAAGAGUUCGUCUGCCACCCUUCAACUAGCACUCCCUGUUUUGUGCUGGAACAAGUUAUGCUUGAGAGAAGUAUGCAAUUUUUGCGCCGUCCACGGCAACGCUUGCAUUUAUUUCGUCUUAAUUAAAUUUAAGAUGCGUGAAAAAAUCCAAGCACGCAAGGAGAAGAAAAUUAUUUGCGUCGACGCCGAGGCAUCAAAUUCUUCCUUCCACCCAAACCCUACUCGAGUAUCCUCGUCUUUUGAAAGAAAUUUCAAGAACAGGUAAAUUUCGACGGAAGAAAAUCUAAUGUGAAGGCGGCAGAGAAUUAUUAUUUAUUUUGUUUCCUUCCGUAGGAAGAUAGAAAUAGAAUAAAAGUAAUUUAUCUGUACACCGAGUUGCCUCUUUUUUUUAAAUCUUUUA